rnacentral:rRNA from 1 species
GAUGAACGCUGGCGGCGUGCCUAAUACAUGCAAGUCGAGCGAACGGACGAGAAGCUUGCUUCUCUGAUGUUAGCGGCGGACGGGUGAGUAACACGUGGAUAACCUACCUAUAAGACUGGGAUAACUUCGGGAAACCGGAGCUAAUACCGGAUAAUAUUUUGAACCGCAUGGUUCAAUAGUGAAAGACGGUCUUGCUGUCACUUAUAGAUGGAUCCGCGCUGCAUUAGCUAGUUGGUAAGGUAACGGCUUACCAAGGCAACGAUGCAUAGCCGACCUGAGAGGGUGGACGGCCACACUGGAACUGAGACACGGUCCAGACUCCUACGGGAAGCAACAGUAGGGAAUCUUCCGCAAAGGGCGAAAGCCUGACGGAGCAAAGCCGCGUGAGUGAUGAAGGUCUUCGGAUCGUAAAACUCUGUUAAUAGGGAAGAACAUAUGUGUAAGUAACUGUGCACAUCUUGAAGGUACCUAAUCAAAAAGCCACGGCUAACUACGUG